CUUCAUUCUCCUCUACAAAAUACUUUUGGGGACUUUUGGCAACCCUAGUUGUUGCUCGUAUAAUUAAUAUAAAAUACCUGACUUAGAGCCGUACAACAUCUCUUUUCUAAAUACGUUUAAUCUUAUCCAAAGUGAGCUUCCCAAUUUUAUUUGUGGCUUAUAGCAAAUGCCCUGAGUGCAUUUUGCAUUCAGAUCUAUAACCACUUUGUCAUCACAAGCCUCUCUGGGGCUACCCCUUUUUGGCUUUUUCUAUUUGUGUUCCCCCCCCCCUUCAUAAAACAAAGUCAGUAUGAUUCUUUCUAGCAUCUGUAGAGGGGGAAAUCUGUGAUCUGUCCCCUUUACUCAGAUCUUUCAUUUGACAUUUGGAAACUGCUCUUAUUUUUAGCAAUCAAGGCAGUGGCACAGGCUGCCUAGCUUAAAUGGUUUAGUUGGGGAUUUUUUCUUAUUUUUUGUUGCUGCUAAUGUAGUGUAAGAUUCCAGACAGGUUGAAGCGAACUGAGUUUCACUUGCUGUCACUACUCAGGACUGCCAUCAGAAGGAGAUCACCGGCAGUGCUUACACUGCUUUCCAUAUCACUAACUGGGAGCGCAAUAAAUAGAGUUCAGCUCAUUGUAGGCUCCUGAAAUGAAUGUGUGCAGACACUUCGGUUAGCUGCUUCUCUCCAGUGCAGAAGGACAGUCAGCCACUGGAUAUCUCUGCCGUCUCUCCUCUCUUCGCUGCUAGGUCUGCUGGGGACGGGUCAAGUGGUGCUGCCCAGGUUCUCAACAGCCUGGCAGGUAGAAGAGGAUCUGUAAUAGAAUUGGGAAAGAAAAAGGAGACAAGCUUUCUUUCCCAGCCCAUGGAAAAAUAACUUCCUGGAUUGUCAUCUGGAACCUGGGAAGUGCCAACAUGAGCAACAAUGAGAGGCCAGUGAACCCUGCCUCAUCUCCACUGACUGAGUGCCUGAAGAGAAAGAGGGGGAGACCAAAGAAGCAGCCACAGGAGGCUGUGGGGCCACUGCCAAUGAAGAAACCACGAGGAAGGCCAAAAGGAAGCAAGAAAGUGAAUGCUGUAUCUCAAAUGGUAGAACCUUCUGCCGAGAAAAGGCCAAGAGGGAGGCCCCGCAAGUGGCCUCAACUAGUGAUCCAAGAGGGAGUGUGUCAGGAAGGAACUCCUCAGGGAAGCAGUGACUCGAAUUUGACCGCACCGCCUGCCACACAAGGUUUGAAGUUAGACAAUCAUAAUUACACAGAACUAAACCRUGGAACCAGGCUCCUAGCAAACCAUGCAUAUACCCCCAAAGCUGCUGCUCCAGCUGCACUUGUCCUGUGAACCCUACAGACACCAGCGUGUCUGCAAGGCUUCCAGGAACAACUCAACAA
rnacentral:lncRNA from 1 species